CAGAAAAUAGUUUAGUUUAAAAUAAUAAUUUUGGAGAUUAUAGAUAAAGGAGUCUUUUUUUCUGA
rnacentral:tRNA from 1 species